GAUGAACGCUGGCGGCGUGCCUAAUACAUGCAAGUCGAGCGAACAGACGAGGAGCUUGCUCCUUUGACGUUAGCGGCGGACGGGUGAGUAACACGUGGGUAACCUACCUAUAAGACUGGGAUAACUUCGGGAAACCGGAGCUAAUACCGGAUAAUAUUUCGAACCGCAUGGUUCGAUAGUGAAAGAUGGCUUUGCUAUCACUUAUAGAUGGACCUGCGCCGUAUUAGAUAGUUGUUAAGGUAACGGCUUAGCAAGGCAACGAUACGUAGCCGACCUGAGAGGGUGAUAGGCCACACUGGAACUUGGACACGGUCCAGGCUACUACGGGAGGCAGCAGUAGGGAAUCGUCCGCAAUAGGCGAAAGCCUGACAGAGCAACGCGGCGUGAGUGAUGAAGGUGUUCGGAUCGUAAAACUGUGUUAUUAGGGAAGAACAAACUUGUAAGUAAAUGUGCACGUCUUGACGGUACCUAAUCAGAAAGCAACGGCUAACUACGUG
rnacentral:rRNA from 1 species